CCACCCGACCCCAUACCGAACUCGGAAGUGAAACGUGUCAUCGCCGAUGAUAGUUUGGGAGUUCCCAUGCGAAAGUAGGUCACUGCCAGGG
rnacentral:rRNA from 1 species